AAAACAAGCCGUCUUAUCGUCCUGACAUUUACCGUCAUGGGAGGAAAGUCCGGACACCAUAGUGCAGCAUAGCGGGUAACGCCCGUCAUCCUGAUAAAUAAUUGGGAUUGGACCAGUGCAACAGAAAGCAAGUACAGUUAGGCUGUAGUGAAAUCAGGUAAACUCUAUGCGGUGCAAUACCAUGUAAACCAAGGCUUGAAAGCGGCACGCUUGAUCUUGGAGGGUUGGUAGCUUGAUCCCGAUAGUAAUAUUGGGGCUAGAUAAAUGAUAAGAGUUCACUUCGGUGGAAACAGAAUCCGGCUUAUAGGCUUGUUUUUUUU
rnacentral:RNase_P_RNA from 1 species